rnacentral:rRNA from 1 species
GAAACGAUGUCACCAGCGAUCCGCAGGAGUUAUUCAUGACUCUGCGGGCAGCUUCCGGGAAACCAAAGUUUUUGGAUUCCGGGGGGAGUAUGGUUGCAAAGCUGAAACUUAAAGGAAUUGACGGAAGGGCACCACCAGGAGUGGAGCCUGCGGCUUAAUUUGACUCAACACGGGAAAACUUACCCGGCCCGGACACUGGAAGGAUUGACAGAUUGAGAGCUCUUUCUUGAUUCAGUGGGUGGUGGUGCAUGGCCGUUCUUAGUUGGUGGAGUGAUUUGUCUGGUUAAUUCCGAUAACGAACGAGACUCUAGCCUACUAAAUAGACUUGUUGGCUUGUGUGGAAAUUAAACCGUAUUACGGCUGGCAGCUUAGCUUGAGCCUGUGUCUAGCUUGUAAGGUUUGGCAACAGAUCUUGCCUGUUAGGCCAGGCCAGGCGGUUGUUGGUCGUUUGCGGCGUUUCAAUAACGCCAACAGAUGCUUCUUAGAGGGACAGGCGGCGAUUCAGCCGCACGAAACAGAGCAAUAACAGGUCUGUGAUGCCCUUAGAUGUCCGGGGCCGCACGCGCGCCACACUGAAGUGAUCAGCGUGCUAUUUUAUUCAAUCCUGCUCUGUCAAGAGUGGGUAACCCAAUCAACCUUCUUCGUGAUUGGGAUAGGGGAUUGUAAUUAUUCCCCUUGAACGAGGAAUUCCCAGUAAGCGCGAGUCAUAAGCUCGCGUUGAUUACGUCCCUGCCCUUUGUACACACCGCCCGUCGCUACUACCGAUUGAAUGAUUUAGUGAGGUCUUCAGACCGGCCGGCGCAGUUGUCCUCGUUGAUGACCGUGCUGUGUUUGGAAAGAUGCCCAAACUUGAUCAUUUAGAGGAAGU